GACCUCUCAUCGUGUCCCUUUCAGGGUGCCAUCAGCGCGGCUGGAAAGCUGUUCCUGACGCCAAACUCACAAAGGCUUUGCCCGCACUCCUGAUGUCUAAAGAGCAAGGUGUCGUUUAUUCCACGCAGGGAGAUAUUGGCUGUGGGCAGGAGGGGAGUGAGCUCUGCUCCAUUUCUGGAGCUGUGGAGGAGACCCUGGAGAUCAGAUCAACGACAGGGAAUAGACUCAGAAGAUUCCUGGGUGAAUUGUUCAGGUCCCAUCCCGUGGGCACGGCGGUGCUGAUUCUGCUGCUCCUGGUGCUGGUGCUGGCUUUGGGGGUGGCCGUGGCUGUGCCGGCAGCACCACAGGUUCCAGUCACACCUACGACUCCACAGUGUGUUCUGGGCUGUCCCNGUGGUCUCAGCCACUGAAAUGAGGAACUUUUCUUGUGGGUUCCCAAUACCAUUUCCAACAAAGCCCAGCUGGUGCUGAAAAUAGCAUUCACAUUCGGGGGCAAAACCAAUAAGGAAUCACAGACAUCUGAAGUCAAAUGAGGGUCCCAUAAAAGUAAAAUUUCUCUUUGUUUUUAACAGAGGCAGAUUUUCAUCUUUUAAGCCCAAAUCUUCUCUGACACACAAAAGAACAUAAAAUCCAUAAACACUUUAGUUCCAACUUGAAAUAUUUGUUUUUUGGCAAUUCUGUUUUUACAUAAAGUGUGGUUGGAUGAACACUACUGAAGCACAGAAACACUAAGACUACUACUGCAAACUGCAGAAAUUACUGAAAAUUCUCUUCUACUGUCAGCAAGAGUCAACAUGUCUGAAGGUUUCCUUGUAUGGAGAACAGUUACACUGAAUGGUUUUGACAUCAAAAUCAACUGGAAAACAAUGAUUUCAGGUAAAGUGUAAAAAAUGAACACUGUGUUAUGGAUAUAUAUUAUGGUGUUGGCCUUUUGCCUAUAUUAAAAUGGAUUCCAUAAGUGUGGUGUUAAAGUGACUUUGCUGAAAGUACAUAGUUUCUAUUUUUCUUGCUAACUAAAACUUGGAAAUAGCUGAUCUAGAUAUGCCUAUGUCAAAAUGCCUGCUUGGUUGAGAUAAUAUCCAAGGAAUAUAGGAUGCCAACUACCAGCACUCAUCUUCUGAAGGCAGUGUGGACCCAGGCCCAAAAACUGAAGGUAAUGAUAAAAUUAACUAAAACCACAACCAAGAAGUGUGCGUGCUCUAAAAAGCAGGACCUGAGGACGAGCCAUGCAAAACAGUUCUUGGGGCAUGUAAACUAGUUUGGGAAAAAAUUUACAUAUGCACCAGGCUGAUGCAAUAGAAAUGCUAUAUAAUUUGUGUUUCCAAACUAGCAGGUGUGCUCCAUGCUGAGGGCCAAGACACACCCAGCUGUAACCUCUGCUUUGUUGUCUUUGUCUUCUAUUAAAGUCCU
rnacentral:lncRNA from 1 species